rnacentral:rRNA from 1 species
UCAGGAUGAACGCUAGCGACAGGCCGUAACACACUAGCAAGUCGAGGGGCAGCACAAGGAGCAAUCUGAGGUGGCGACCGGCGCACGGGUGAGGUAACACGUAUGCAACCUGCCUGUAAGCGGGGAAUAACCCGUUGAAAGACGGACUAAUACCGCAUAAUACUAAAUUACUGCAUGGUAAUUUAUUUAAACAUUUAUGGCUUACAGAUGGGCAUGCGCAUGAUUAGCUAGUUGGAGAGGUAACGGCUCCCCAAGGCAACGAUCAUUAGGGGUUCUGAGAGGAAGGUCCCCCCACACUGGUACUGAGACACGGACCAGACUCCUACGGGAGGCAGCAGUGAGGAAUAUUGGUCAAUGGACGAGAGUCUGAACCAGCCAAGUCGCGUGCAGGAAGAAUUGUCCUAUGGAUUGUAAACUGCUUUUGCGGGGGAAUAAAGUGCAUCACGUGUGAUGUUUUGUAUGUACUCUGCGGAUAAGGAUCGGCUAACUCCGUGCCAGCCGCGGC